ACGUAAUAGAUACCCUGGUAGUCCACGCCCUAAACGAUGUCUACUAGUUGUUGGUGGAGUAAAAUCCAUGAGUAAACGCAGCUAAACGCGUGAAGUAGACCGCCUGGGGAGUACGGUCGCAAGAUUAAAACUCAAAUGAAUUGACGGGGGCCCGCACAAGCGGUGGAUUAUGUGGAUUAAUUCGAUGCAACGCGAAAACCUUACCUGGCCUUGACAUGUAACGAACUUUCCAGAGAUGGAUUGGUGCUCGAAAGAGAACGUUAACACAGGUGCUGCAUGGCUGUCGUCAGCUCGUGUCGUGAGAUGUUGGGUUAAGUCCCGCAACGAGCGCAACCCUUGCCAUUAACUUGCCAUCAUUAGUUGGGCACUUUAAUGGGACUGCCGGUGACAAACCGGAGGAACGGUGGGGAUGACGUCAAGUCCUCAUGGCCCUUAUGGCCAGGGCUUCACACGGUAAUACGAAUGGUCGGUACAGAGGGUUGCCAACCCGCGAGGGGUAGCCAAUCCCAGAAAGCCGAUCG
rnacentral:rRNA from 1 species